AUUGAACGCUGGCGGCAGGCCUAACACAUGCAAGUCGAACGCGAAAGUCCUUCGGGAUGAGUAGAGUGGCGGACGGGUGAGUAACGCGUAGGAAUCUGUCCUGUAGUGGGGGAUAACUCGGGGAAACUCGAGCUAAUACCGCAUACGCCCCAAGGGGGAAAGCGGGGGAUCUUCGGACCUCGCGCUAGAGGAGGAGCCUGCGUCGGGUUAGCUAGUUGGUAGGGUAAAGGCCUACCAAGGCGACGAUCCGUAGCUGGUCUGAGAGGAUGAUCAGCCACACCGGAACUGAGACACGGUCCGGACUCCUACGGGAGGCAGCAGUGGGGAAUAUUGCGCAAUGGGGGCAACCCUGACGCAGCCAUGCCGCGUGUGUGAAGAAGGCCUUCGGGUUGUAAAGCACUUUCAGAGGGGAGGAAAGGGCGCUGGCUAAUAUCCGGCGCAGUUGACGCUACCCUCAGAAGAAGCACCGGCUAAUUCCGUGCCAGCAGCCGCAGUAAUAC
rnacentral:rRNA from 1 species